ensembl:lncRNA
GGAGAAGUCAGCACACCUACCAAGGAUGCAGGGUCUUACUAUGUUUCCCAGGCUGGACUCAAACUCCUGGGCUCAAGUGGUCAUCCCACCUCAGCCUCCUGAGUAGCUGGGACUAUAGAUGCAUGCCGCCAUGCCCUGCCAAAAUCAUAUUUUUGAAGGUGGACAUUCAGCAAGCUCUCGAGGCUCUGCCAGGGUACUCUCCCAGGAAACAUCAACAACAGCUAAGAGUGAGGGGCAUGUUACAGAUAGAGCUUCAGGACCUCAUGUUCUCUGCUGGUGGAUGAGAAGAGUGACCCGCAUCCCUUCUGACCUGUUUCUGAUAGAGUCCAGGCUGCUGUUGGAGGGUUGUUUCUCAAGUUCUGGCAUCUCUGUUGACUUAAGGACCAUUCAACAUGAGAAAAUGGAGCCCACCAAUUUUGUGGCAGGCUUUCACCAGUCUGGUCUUGAUUUGCCACAAAUGCUGGACUUCCAAUUUUUAGCCUCGGGAACUGAUUUCAUUCCUUCCCAUUCCCAAAGGUUCUUCUGUAGCCUGCCAUCAAUUCUGAACAUCAUAUUGUAAUUGCUCUGGAAAAACACAACUGGUUUACGAAAGAGACCAUGUGAUUUAUUUGAAAAUGAAGCAGAAGACUUAACAAUGUUUUACUGAAACUGCCAUGGGGACCAGAAGUGAAUGGAUCACAGGUCCAAUAAAAUUCACUAUUGAGGCUUAUACAAAUAACCACUGUUGAAGAUGCAAUUGUCCCAGCCUAUUCUGUAUAUUCAUAUUCAUCUUGUAUGUUUAUGAUAUUAUCUAAGCAGUAAUAUUUAGGUUAAUAUUUUCUUUAGUACUAUUAUGCUUUAAUAAGUCAACUCUAAACCAUAAUUUCUGCUUUCAUAGUUUAGCAAUUAGACAUUAGCAAUAGUAAUGAUAAACUGCAGUAGAAACAAUAAAAAUUCAAAAAUAAAAAAUGUAAGUAGUAAGGACACAAUUGAUGUGAAUACAUGUUCGUUUAAAGGAACUACAGCCGGUUAACUGGAUGUGAGCUAUCAUUAAUAAUCAGCAGAAUACUCCUAAUAUAUAUGCAUACUUUAAGGAUAGAGUGAUUUCCAAGAAAGUAAAAUAAUUAUUUUUGAAUUAAUAAUGUGUAUAUAUAUAUGUGUGUGUGUGUAUGUGUGUGUGUGUGCGUGUGUGUGUGUAUAUGUGUAUAUAUAUAAAUCCUAUUGGUUUGGUUUCUCUGGAAAACCCUGACUAAUACACCAAGGUCUUUGGUUCCUUCGUGUUGUGACUCUGCCUUUCUAAGAUCUAUUUUAAAAAUACCCAAAGGUAUAGCUUGAUGGGCAGAGGUACACUAAGGUUACACCACAUUUUUAACAAAGUAGGUUUCUGACAUUAUAAAGAUACUGAAGUAAUGAUUGUGAAUACACCCCACAAACAGAUAGAAAGUCAGAACAAUUUGGCAUGUCCAGGCCAUUUAUUCCAUCAAGCUGCAUCAUAUUUGACCCAGCAACCUGGUCAAUAUAAUCUGCUGUUGAGAUCACCAUCACAAAUAACUAUGUCAGGGGAAGUAAUACAAAAGGAAAUUUGAAUUUAUGUGGACUGCAGUUUUUACAGUUACAUGGUUAAAAGGACUCAUGAAACUCUUCAUGCAUACUCACUGAUAUGGUUUGUCUCUGUGUUCCCACUUAAAUCUCUCUUCUAAUUGCAAUCCCCAUAAUCCCCACGUGUCAAGAGUGGGACCAGGAUGAGGUAAUUGGAUCAUAAGGGUGGUUUCCCCCAUGCUGUUCUUGUGAUAGUAAGUGAAUUCUCAUGAGAUCCGAUGGUUUUAUAAGCAUCUGGCAUUUCUCCUGCUUGCACUCACUCUGUCCUGCCACACUGUGAAGAAGGUGCAUAUUUCUCCUUUGCCUCACACCGUGAUUGUAAGUUUUCUGAGGCCUCCCCAGCAAUGCAGAACUGUGAGUAAAUUAAACCUCUUUCCUUUAUAAAUUAUCCAGUCUCAUGCAUUUCUCCACAGCAGUGUGAUAACAGACUAAUAAAGAGAAAGGAUAUGGUAUAGCAAGAGAAAGAAGGUACAAAACCAGAGAGUCACAUAGCUUUCUGGUACAGCUCCCAGGUUCCUUUCUUAGUCACACAGGACUUACUUUGUCUUUGGAUUUUGAGCCACCAACAGAUAUGCAAGUUGCCUUGAUCUCUGGGAAACCAAAGUCCCAUGUAAGAUGUCUUUUAAACCUCUCUGGCCACAUAGCCCAAACUAGGCUUCAUGACCAAGCUCAAAAACAGAAACAAAGAGAACAAAUAGAAACUAGGUACAAACCAUCCAUCUGUACUUUAUCUAUAAACAAUGUUGAUAAACUGGCAUAGGUUGUUCCUGUCUGUUUUGGAUUCUAGCUCAGGGCUACAUUCAUAGCUACUUAGUACAUUUCAUUCAAGUUUGGCCAAUGAUCAGCCCUGAUAUGGUUUGGCUCUGUGUCCCAACCCAAAUCUCAUCUCAAAUUGUAAUCCCCAUGUGUUGAGGGAGGAACCUGGUGGGAGGUGACUGGAUCAUGAGGGCAGUUUCUCCAAUGCUGUUCUUGUGAUAGUGAGUGAGUUCUCAUGAGAACUGGUGGUUUUAAAGUGUGGCGCUUCUUCGUGCUCUCUGUCUUCUGCCAUCAUGUAAGACCAUGCCUUGAUUCCUCUUUUUUCCGCCAUUAUUGUGAAGCCUCUCCAGCCAUGUGCAACUGUGAGUCAAUUACACCUCUUUUGUUCACAUAAUAAAUUACCCAGUCUCACAAGCCCUAUGACUGAAAACAUCUCUGGAGAUAAACACAGCAUUGCAAUAGAUUAGUGGGAUUAAUCCUAUUCUUAUACCAUCCACUUUGUGACUCUUACUUGAGUUUUCUUAAUUACAAAUUGGCUGUCAUUGCUCUUCUUUCCACAUUUUACGACAUUUAUAGAACAGAGAAAACAGAAAUAUAAAUACUAAGCUACAAAUCAUUUGUAUCAUUCAAUGAAGUAUAGGUAUUACUUUGAAGAACCAUUCAACUUUUCAAAAAUAUUCCAGCAUAAAAUUGUUGAUAAUUAUAUACAAGCCUGAAAACUCUUGUUUUUAUAUUAAAAGAUCACGAGUAGAGUAUUAGACUACAGCAACUGGGGAAGUAGAGAGAAGAUCCAUGUUAGCAAUGAGAAGCAAAUUCUAACAUGAAUAUUCUAGUGGAUAGAUGGAGUAUGGUGGCAGCAUGGAGUCUGAAAGAGGAAAUGGGAGGAAAAUAAAGAUUUAUUUGGCCCAAGGAAAAUCAAGAAGCAGGUGGAGAAAGGACUCAACCACAGAACCAUAGUUAAGAAGCAGUGUUCUUAUUCAUAGGACCAUUGCAGAGCAAGGCAAGACCUCAGGACGGGCAUCAGGCAAUACCUCAAGAUUCACUAAUUUGAAUUUAGUUACAAGAAGGGUUUGGUGCCUGGAGUGGAACUAGAACGUUAGAGAAACUAUUAGUUCUUUCAUUUACUUGUUCAUCCAUUUUUGUUCGUUCAAUACAUGUUUAUUGAGUCGCCAGUAUUUGUCAAAAAUUAGGUGCAGACUACUUAGAGUUGGAAAAGACAGAAAAAUUCCUGUUCUCAAAAUUUAUAUUCUGGUGAGCAACUAAGGAAAAGAUUACCUUGAUUUUAAGCCAGUGAGCUCCUGGUGUAGAGCUACUUUAAUCCUUCCCAAAUAGGAAUAACACUGGUUUCAAGGUCUAGAGUAGGAAGGAAGCUGAAGGAGAGGCUUAGCCUCCCUAAAUUUGGGCUUUAGAGAGAUGCUCAGGCAGGAGUUCAAUCAGAUCACUUCACUGCCUACCUCUUUAGAAUGGGAGCUAAGAAAUUAUACAGUUUGGGUUGAAAAUCUAAAUUAACAUAGAAAAUUCAGACUCUCAAAUCUUCUAUUCCCGUGCUAGAAUUGUGUCUUGAUGUAACUGGCUGUUUUAACGUUCCACUUGACUUUGUUAUUAUAGACCUAGACUAAAAUGAAGCACAGACUGAGGAAGUAUAUAAGCUUUUUCUCCAUUGGUGGCUGUUUUUAAAAGCAGAUGUUUAACAAAGACUCUGUUCAAGCAUUGCAGAUCUGUUAUAAUAGUCAAACUUUAAUAUCAUCCUGCUUUACCACUCAAUAUGAUAAGUACUUACUAUAUUCAAGCUCAUGGAUUAAGAGAUUCAAACUUAAAGAUAAAUAUCUUCUACCAACAAUAGAAAUGUAGCUUUUAUAUUAUCUUACUUACUGGAGCUUUCAGAAGCUGACUUAUUUAUUUCACUUUUACCUUAUUUUUAAUACUAACAUAGUGAGCCCCAGUUCACAUAGUUACACUUGAUAACAGUAAAAUCAGAAACUUGGCUAGCCAAUCAAACUUCUCAUUGCUUAAUGGUAAGGAAAAGAAGCUUUAUUUUCAUUUCAUUAAAACGUUGACUGCUACUUUAUUCUCUUAAAGAAAUAAAGUAAAUUUUUAUGGAAUUAGUUGGCAGUUUUUAAGACUCUUACGCAAAUUGGUAGCAAAUCUCAAGCAGUUAUAAAAGAAACAGAUAACUAUUAGAAAUAUUAAAAACUGGAGUUCUUUUACUUAUAUGUAUAUAUGUGACUGCAUUUAAAGACUGAACAUGAACCAAUAGCUUUGUUAGGAAAAAAAGAAAUUUCUGAAGUACCUGUAGUAAGAAUAAAAUCAGAAUCUUUGAGAAUAAAACUUAAGGGAGAAAAUGCAAAAGAAAUAUUCUGGGACCUUAGAGAAAAAACUGGAAUAACAAUAGAUUGCCAAAUAAUCAGAAUAUAAAGGGCAAAAAAAGAAGGCAUCAAAUGAGAAACAGUGUACCCAUGACAACUUGGGUAGUUCCUGUUUUUCUUUGAUAGAAACAAUGGAUCUCACCAUCAUACCCAAAUCUGUAAUAAUAGUUUCUUGUCAUAAGAAAUUCAUCCUGGAUUUGUAUUUUGGUUUAUGCAUUUAAGUGCCACUUGUCUGUCUUUUCAUGAAUGACCUAUCUAUAUUUAAAAAAUGUAGACCUUCUUUUCAAAAGCUAUCCUUAAACAGUAUUUUGAAAUACACUGAUAUAUUUUGAGGAAAAAAAACAAACAAAUAACAGCUUUGCUAACUCUGGAAUUCUUG